rnacentral:rRNA from 1 species
UACGUAGGUGGCGAGCGUUGUCCGGAUUUAUUGGGUUUAAAGGGUGCGUAGGCGGCCCUGUAAGUCAGUGCUGAAAUAUCCCGGCUUAACUGGGAGGGUGGCAUUGAUACUGUGGGGCUAGAGUACAGAUGAGGUAGGCGGAAUUGACGGUGUAGCGGUGAAAUGCUUAGAUAUCGUCAAGAACACCUAUAGCGAAGGCAGCUUACUAGGCUGUAACUGACGCUGAGGCACGAAAGUGUGGGGAUCAGACAGG